CCUACGGGAUGCAGCAGUGAGGAAUAUUGGUCAAUGGGCGCGAGCCUGAACCAGCCAAGUAGCGUGAAGGAUGAAUGCACAGCGGGUUGUAAACUUCUUUUGUCAGGGAAUAAAGUCAGGCACGUGUGCCUUGUUGAGUGUACUUUAUGAAAAAGGAUCGGCUAACUCCGUGCCAGCAGCCGCGGUAAUACGGAGGAUCCGAGCGUUAUCCGGAUUUAUUGGGUUUAAAGGGUGCGUAGGUGGGUUGUUAAGUCAGUUGUGAAAGGUUGCGGCUCAACCGUAAAAUUGCCAUUGAUACUGGCAGCCUCGAGUACAGUUGAGGUAGGCGGAAUUCGUGGUGUAGCGGUGAAAUGCUUAGAUAUCACGAAGAACUCCGAUUGCGAAGGCAGCUUACCAA
rnacentral:rRNA from 1 species